CCUACGGGAGGCUGCAGUGAGGAAUAUUGGUCAAUGGCCGUAAGGCUGAACCAGCCAAGUAGCGUGAGGGAAGACUGCCCUAUGGGUUGUAAACCUCUUUUAUGCGGGGAUAAAGGUGUCCACGUGUGGAUGUUUGCAGGUACCGCAUGAAUAAGGACCGGCUAAUUCCGUGCCAGCAGCCGCGGUAAUACGGCAGGUCCGGGCGUUAUCCGGCUUUAUUGGGUUUAAAGGGAGCGUAGGCCGGUCUUUAAGCGUGCCGUGAAAUUUUGUGGCUCAACCAUGAGAGUGCGGCGCGAACUGGAGACCUGGAGUGCGCGGAAGGCAGGCGGAAUUCGUGGUGUAGCGGUGAAAGGCUUAGAUAUCACGAAGAACCCCGAUUGCGAAGGCAGCCUGCCGCAGCGUGACUGACGCUGAAGCUCGAAAGCGCGGGUAUCGAACAGGAUUAGAUACCCCUGUAGUC
rnacentral:rRNA from 1 species